GAAAGCAUCUAAGCGCGAAGCCUACUCCAAGAUGAGAUCUCCCAUUCGUCAAACGAAGUAAGACCCCUUGAAGACGACGAGGUAGAUAGGUCAGAGAUGGAAGUGUAGCGAUACAUGGAGUUGACUGAUACUAAUAGGUCGAGGACUUAAUCAC
rnacentral:ncRNA from 1 species